UUGCUGGACGAAAUCUGCUGGUACUGAACAAGCUGGCAAGUAAUAUUUCUUUUUUGGUAAGAAAAGCCAUAGAAGAAGAUGCCGGAGAGAGCUAUUUUAGAAUACUUCACUGCCUGAAAGUGACAUCUGUUGGGCACAGAUGCAUGCAAGAACAAUUGCAAAACUUCCAGAGCUCAAAAUGCAUGGGAGGGAAAGGCAAACAAGAAGAACAGGGUAGGAGUACAAGGCACUUCCAUGGCUGCAAGAAUUUUGGUGGAAUUCCCUUUAUGUCUAACUAACAUUUCACACUGUCUGCUCUUUCCCAUUAAAAAAAAUCACAUUUGCAUA